AUGAGCACGGCCAUGGCAUCACUGGUGCUUGCAGUGCUCGUCUUGCCGUCGGCAACAACUGCCGCGGUGACUACGGCUAGAAGAAACUGCUCUAACACCUGUGGUGAGGUUGAUGAGAUACCUUAUCCGUUCGGAUUAGGUCCUUCGUGCUCCUUACCUGGUUUCAGCCUCACUUGUGCGGACAACGCCAGUUACCCCAUGCUGGGCAACCUACCCAUCGAGAGCUUUUACAUCUUUGAUUCCAACAACCUGUACGCCAAUAUCUCGUACUCCUACAACUACCUGUGCGCCAGGAUCUCCUACACCGUGAAGAUGAUUCCCGGUGUCCGCGACUACUCUGUUCACUGGGAAGCUCCGGCCCGGCACUUUGCCAUGUCUGGCUCGUCAAACAUGUUGUUCGUCGUUGGCUGCGGCGUCAAGGCCUCGCUGUUCAUCGGCAACUCGACCGUUGAGGUCGGGAACUGCUCCGUCGUCUGUGCCGAAGCUCGAAUCAUGGAGAAGCUGCCCAAGGGUGUAUGUGAUGGCAUCGGAUGCUGUUUCAUCGACAUACAGGUGAACCUAAGGGCGUUCACCCUCAACAUCUCACGCACCAGCGGUUCUGCACGCUCGAAGGAGGUGUACGCGUUCAUCAGCGGAGGUGGUAAGGACCAAAUAUUCUGGCCGAUUGACGCCCUGAGAUCUUUGUUGCCGGAAUAUCUCGAGGGGUACGAAUUUGCUACCCUGGAAUGGGCUAUUCCCUACAAGCCGAACUGUAAGCGCGCCAUGGAGGACAGGGCAAGCUAUGCAUGCGUUGCUAAUCACAGUGCCCGGAAUACGAACCACCUCAGCCAUCUCCACCACCUCAACGAGCAGCCGAAGAAGGAUUGUGACAUGUCGUGCGGGAACGUGAGCAUCCCGUUCCCCUUUGGAAUAAAGCUAGGCUGCUUUGCAACUGAACCAUUCUAUCUCAAAUGUCUUCGAGCCUUGCCGGGGACUGGUCUUCCGGUGCUUGAACUGAAUGGUAGUUUGGUCGUCAGUGACAUAUCUAUUGACGAAGGUUACCGCUGCAAGUGCUCUUCUGGUUUUAAAGGGAAUCCUUAUAUUAAAGAUGGAUGCACAGAUAUAAACGAGUGCCUGCAGCCAGAUAAAUACACCUGCAACGGUAUCACCAUUGGACUAAGCAGUGGUGGGGGCAUUCUAUUUCUUGCCGUAUUUGUUGCUAUUCUUAUACGAAGAUGGAAUCGGGCCAUUCAGAAGCGCUUGAGAAAAAGGUAUUUUCGGAAGAACAAAGGCAUUCUGCUAGAACAGCUUAUCUCUUCAGACAAAAGUGCCAACGAUAGCACAAAGAUAUUCUCCCUGGAGGAUCUGGAGAAGGCAACAAACAAUUUUGAUCAGGCCCGUGUGGUCGGACGGGGUGGCCAUGGCACAGUCUACAAGGGCAUCUUGAUCGACCAGCGCGUGGUGGCCAUCAAGAAAUCAACACUCUCGGUGAUCAGCGAGAUCGAAGAGUUCAUCAACGAGGUGUCCAUCUUGUCGCAGAUCAACCAUCGAAACGUAGUGAAGCUCCAUGGAUGUUGCCUCGAAUCCGAGGUCCCUCUGCUUGUCUAUGAGUUCAUCUCCAAUGGCACGCUCUACGACCUUCUGCACCGCCCCUCCGAGCAAAACAGUAGCAACUUAUUGGUGCCAUUGUCCUGGGAGGAGCGCCUGAGGAUCGCCACCGAGAUCGCGGGUGCGCUCACGUACCUGCACUCUUCGGCUUCGGUGUCGGUCCUCCAUAGAGAUGUCAAGUCCAUGAACGUGCUCCUGAACGACAGCUACACCGCAAAGGUCUCAGAUUUUGGCGCAUCGAGGCUGAUCCCCAUCGAUCAAACGCACCUGGUCACCGCCGUUCAGGGUACAUUUGGGUACCUGGAUCCGGAGUAUUACUACACGGGCCAACUCAACGACAAGAGCGAUGUUUACAGUUUUGGUGUGAUACUUGUUGAGCUACUGACGAGGAGGAAGCCCAUCAUCCAGAACGAGCAUGGCGAGAAGCAGAACUUGUCAAACUACUUCUUGUGCGCCAUGAGGGAGAGGCUCCUCGAGGAAACGGUGGACGCGCAGAUCCUGGGGGGUGGAAGAGAUGAAGGGGUUCUGUGCAUGGCUCAGUUGGCAGAGGAGUGCCUCAGACUGACUUGA
rnacentral:rRNA from 1 species